rnacentral:rRNA from 1 species
GACGAACGCUGGCGGCGUGCCUAAUACAUGCAAGUCGAGCGAAUGGAAGGGAGCUUGCUCCCUGAAGUUAGCGGCGGACGGGUGAGUAACACGUGGGCAACCUGCCUGUAAGACUGGGAUAACUUCGGGAAACCGGAGCUAAUACCGGAUACGUUCUUUCCUCGCAUGAGGAAAGAUGAAAAGAUGGUUUCGGCUAUCACUUACAGAUGGGCCCGCGGCGCAUUAGCUAGUUGGGGGGGUAACGGCCCACCAAGGCGACGAUGCGGAGCCGACCUGGGAGGGUGAUCGGCCACACUGGGACUGAGACACGGCCCAGACUCCUACGGGAGGCAGCAGUAGGGAAUCUUCCGCAAUGGACGAAAGUCUGACGGAGCAACGCCGCGUGAGCGAAGAAGGCCUUCGGGUCGUAAAGCUCUGUUGUCAGGGAAGAACAAGUGCCAGAGUAACUGCUGGCACCUUGACGGUACCUGACCAGAAAGCCACGGCUAACUACGUGCCAGCCGCCGCGGUAA